AUGCCUACAAAUCAGAAUGUUUCUCUAUCCCAGAGAAAUGAAGUGAUUCAGUGGCUGGCCAAACUCAAGUACCAAUUCAAUCUUUACCCAGAAACAUUUGCUCUGGCUAGCAGUCUUUUGGGCAGGUUUUUAGCUACUGUAAAGGCCCAUCCAAAAUACUUGAGUUGUAUUGCAAUCAGCUGUUUUUUCCUAGCUGCCAAGACUGUUGAGGAGAAUGAGAAAAUUCCAGUACUGAAGGUGUUGGCAGGAGACAGUUUCUGUGGAUGUUCUUCAGCUGAAAUUCUGAGGAUGGAGAGGAUUAUUCUGGAUAAGUUGAAUUGGGAUCUUCACACAGCUACACCAUUGGAUUUCCUUCACAUUUUCCAUGCCAUUGCAGUGUCAACUAGGCCUCAGUUACUUUUCAGUUUGCCCAAACUGAGCCCCUCUCAACAUUUGGCAGUCCUUACCAAGCAACUCCUUCACUGUAUGGCCUGCAACCAACUUCUACAAUUCAAAGAAUCCAUGCUUGCUCUGGCCAUGGUUAGUUUGGAAACGGAGAAACUUAUUCCUGAUUGGCUUCCUCUUACAAUUGAACUGCUUCAGAAAGCACAGAUGGAGAGCUCCCAGCAGAUCUACUGUCGGGAGCUUGUGGUGCAUCACCUCUCUUUGCAGUCUUCCCUGCCUCUAAAUUCCAUUUAUGUCUACCAUCCCCUCAAGCACACCCUGGGUGACCUGUGACAAAGGAGUGUUCAGAUUACAUCCCUUCUCUGUCGCAGGUGCAGAUUUAGAUUUCUCCAAGGACAACAGCUAACCAGAAGUGCCAGUCAGAGGUGCGGCAGCCUUCUGCCAUCAGCCCCCAGCUGCCCGUGGGUGCAAGCCUACCUCAGCUAAACGCGAAGUAGAGGAGAUGGAAGUGGAUGACUUCUAUGAUAGACUCAAACGGCUCUAUAAUGAAGAUAAUGCCUCAGAAAAUGUGGGUUCUGUAUGUGGCACUGAUUUAUCAAGGCAAGAGGGACAUGCUUCCCCUUGUCCACCUUUGCAGCCAGUUUCUGUCAUGUAGCUUCCAGUGUUACCUUCAAGUGCAAACUAAGGUAGACUACUCUGGGAAGGGGAACAUGGGAAAACCAGGAAAGGUUAUAUACAGGUGUAUACCUUAGCAGGCCAAUUUGAGGUGAGCCAGAAAAAAAGUCCGUUUACUUGUGUGGCAAAUUAUAAUCAAUAUUAUUUAAGCACUUAAAGACCAAAAAAAGUGUGAAAUUCAAAAGAUCCAAACUUUUUUUUAAGUAAAAAAAAAUCUGUAGUGUUUGUCAGUUCCACCCUUUUCUCUGCUAAAAUGUAAUGGAGAUUGACCCAUCUCAAAGAUUCAUAUUCAGUUUUUUUUUUAAAGUUCCAAAAUUCAUAGCUGGCACACACUCUGUCUCCAGCAUCCUGAUUUAAUUUUCCUCGUUUUUGCUUGCUUCUUUAUUGACUACUUAAUGAACUUUAUGCAUAUGGAUCUAUAGCCUGACUUCCACUGAUUUAGGAAACCCUCAAAAUCAUUUUUUAGCAAUUUAGUGAAUAAAUUAUUUCAGUGUGACAGCCAUGUUUAAUCCAGGAUUCAAAUUAAUCUGAAAAGGGUACUUCAGAAUUGCCCCAUAUGAAUGAGAGGAGGUAAUAGAAAAAGGACUGGCAUUACCACAUUGAUUUUGUGUUUGUCUCACUUCAAUUCUUGGAGGUUGGAAACAAAAUUAUUGUUUUCAUUUUUGUUUAUCUUAAAUUGGAACUUAAAAAUGGCAUGUAAUUAGGACACUCUUAGAUUUGUUGAAAGCAUUAUUGACUUUUAUAUAAAAGAAUUUGUGAUAGAUAUAUCCAGGUGCUCACCAAAGAAACAUGUAACAACUAAGGUUUUGGGUUUUUUUGUUUUGUUUUUGGUAACUGAUCAGUUUUUACUCAUUUAUAAUCAGUAGGAGAGACUGUCUAGAUGUUGGGGCAUCUCUAUGAUUGGGGUCUGUAACGUGUAAUAACUGAAUUCAGUACCCUAGAUUUAUGUUAAGCUAUUAGUAUUUUCUUGAUGAAAGUUAUUCACUCUACCUGUAUUUCUCUUAAUGACCUCUGGAUCCUGAGCUCCCUGUGCAGUCUGAAGACGGUAUUGCAGUCAGAACCAUGUACUGAUGAUAAAAGCCUCUAGUAGCAAUAAAAGUUGUCCUUAA